rnacentral:rRNA from 1 species
CUUGCUUCUCUUGAGAGCGGCGGACGGGUGAGUAAUGCCUAGGAAUCUGCCUAGUGGUGGGGGAUAACGUUCGGAAACGGACGCUAAUACCGCAUACGUCCUACGGGAGAAAGCGGGGGACCUUCGGGCCUCGCGCCAUUAGAUGAGCCUAGGUCGGAUUAGCUAGUUGGUGAGGUAAUGGCUCACCAAGGCUACGAUCCGUAACUGGUCUGAGAGGAUGAUCAGUCACACUGGAACUGAGACACGGUCCAGACUCCUACGGGAGGCAGCAGUGGGGAAUAUUGGACAAUGGGCGAAAGCCUGAUCCAGCCAUGCCGCGUGUGUGAAGAAGGUCUUCGGAUUGUAAAGCACUUUAAGUUGGGAGGAAGGGUAGUAACUUAAUACGUUGCUACUUUGACGUUACCGACAGAAUAAGCACCGGCUAACUUCGUGCCAGCAGCCGCGGUAAUACGAAGGGUGCAAGCGUUAAUCGGAAUUACU